GACGAACGCUGGCGGCGUUCUUAACACAUGCAAGUCGAACGGUGACCCAGGGCUUGCCCUGGUGAUCAGUGGCGAACGGGUGAGUAACACGUGGGCAACCUGCCCCUGACUUCGGGAUAACUCCUCGAAAGAGGAGCUAAUACCGGAUACGACCACUUCGGACAUCCGAUGGUGGUGGAAAGUUUUUCGGUCAGGGAUGGGCCCGCGGCCUAUCAGCUAGUUGGUGGGGUAAUGGCCUACCAAGGCGACGACGGGUAGCCGGCCUGAGAGGGCGACCGGCCGCACUGGGACUGAGACACGGCCCAGACUCCUACGGGAGGCAGCAGUGGGGAAUAUUGCGCAAUGGGCGAAAGCCUGACGCAGCGACGCCGCGUGAGGGAUGAAGGCCUUCGGGUGUAACCGUCUUUCAGCAGGACGAAGCGAAAGUGACGGUACCUGCAGAAGAAGCACCGGCUAACUACGUGCCAGCAGCCGCGGUAAU
rnacentral:rRNA from 1 species